GGGGAUUUAGCUCAGUGGUAGAGCGCUUGCCUAGGAAGCGCAAGGCCCUGGGUUCGGUCCCCAGUCCCCA
rfam:Rattus norvegicus chromosome 13, whole genome shotgun sequence.